AUAGAUACCCAGGUAGUCCACGCCGUAAACGAUGAGUGCUAAGUGUUAGAGGGUUUCCCGCCCUUUAGUGCUGCAGCAAACGCAUUAAGCACUCCGCCUGGGGAGUACGGCCGCAAGGCUGAAACUCAAAGAAAUUGACGAGGGCCCGCACAAGCGGUGGAGCAUGUGGUUUAAUUCGAAGCAACGCGAAGAACCUUACCAGGUCUUGACAUCUCCUGACAACCCUAGAGAUAGGGCGUUCCCCUUCGGGGGACAGGAUGACAGGUGGUGCAUGGUUGUCGUCAGCUCGUGUCGUGAGAUGUUGGGUUAAAUCCCGCAACGAGCGCAACCCUUGAUCUUAGUUGCCAGCAUUCAGUUGGGGCACUCUAAGGUGACUGCCGGUGACAAACCGGAGGAAGGUGGGGAUGACGUCAAAUCAUCAUGCCCCUUAUGACCUGGGCUACACACGUGCUACAAUGGAUGGUACAAAGGGCUGCAAGACCGCGAGGUUAAGCGAAUCCCAUAAAACCAUUCUCAGUUCGGAUUGC
rnacentral:rRNA from 1 species